rnacentral:rRNA from 1 species
UACGAAGGGGGCUAGCGUUGCUCGGAAUCACUGGGCGUAAAGCGCACGUAGGCGGUUUGCUAAGUCAGGGGUGAAAUCCUGGAGCUCAACUCCAGAACUGCCUUUGAUACUGGCGGACUUGAGUCCGGGAGAGGUGAGUGGAACUGCGAGUGUAGAGGUGAAAUUCGUAGAUAUUCGCAAGAACACCAGUGGCGAAGGCGGCUCACUGGCCCGGUACUGACGCUGACGGUGCGAAAGCGUGGGGAGCAACAGGGAUUAAGAA